rnacentral:misc_RNA from 1 species
GUGAAUCAUCGAAUCUUUGAACGCACAUUGCGCCCCUUGGUAUUCCGGGGGGCAUGCCUGUUCGAGCGUCAUUUCAACCCUCAAGCCUAGCUUGGUCUUGGGCUCUGCCGGCAACGGCUGGCCUUAAAAUCAGUGGCGGUGCCAUCGAGCUCUACGCGUAGUAAUUAAACCCUCGCGUGUGAGUCUUGGUGAGUACUUGCCAGUAACCCCCAAUUUUCUAUGGUUGACCUCGGAUCAGGUAGGGAUACCCGCUGAACUUAAGCAUAUCAAUAAGCGGAGGA